AGAGUUUGAGUCCUGGCUCAGGAUGAACGCUGGCGGCGUGCUUAACACAUGCAAGUCGACGAUGAUGCCUAGCUUGCUAGGUGGAUUAGUGGCGAACGGGUGAGUAACACGUGAGUAACCUGCCCCUGACUCUGGGAUAAGCCUGAGAAAUUGGGUCUAAUACUGGAUAUGAACAUUUACCGCAUGGUGGGUGUUGGAAAGAUUUUUUGGUUGGGGAUGGACUCGCGGCCUAUCAGCUUGUUGGUGAGGUAGUGGCUCACCAAGGCGACGACGGGUAGCCGGCCUGAGAGGGUGACCGGCCACACUGGGACUGAGACACGGCCCAGACUCCUACGGGAGGCAGCAGUGGGGAAUAUUGCACAAUGGGCGAAAGCCUGAUGCAGCGACGCCGCGUGAGGGAUGACGGCCUUCGGGUUGUAAACCUCUUUCAGUAAGGAAGAAGCGAAAGUGACGGUACUUGCAGAAGAAGCGCCGGCUAACUACGUG
rnacentral:rRNA from 1 species